GCACGAUAAUAUUGUGUAUUAUUAAGGGAUUAAAUCUGACCAUAUUACAAAGAAACAAAUCCACCAUCAACACUAGAAAGAAGAAGAACCAAAAAAAAAAAAAAACAGUAGCAGCCAGAUAUCUGAAAUGAAUAACAAUUAUUAUGCAACACAAAAAACUAAAAACUAAGAAUUGUAAAAAUAUAAAUGAUGAUGAUCAGAGAUUUUGAGAUUAUUGGGUGGACUUGUUUCAAUCAAAAGCAAGCAUCCAACACACAACAGCAACACAAGGCAGCACAGCAGCCCUUCCAGAAGCCAUCACCCUUUGACUUGGUUUCUACAGGAACAGAGUUCUGAGGCUCAUCUCUUGUUGGGUAGCCUGCAGGAGGUGGAGGGGCUUGCACAUGAUAUUGCUGGGCAGAGUUGAAGGUGACAGGUAGCUGGCCAACUGAAAGUUGCAGGUAGUUCGCCAACUGAAGGUGGCAGUUUGCCAACUGCACCACGUCUUGUGGUUUAACACUUUUUAUUUCUUUUAAAAAGGGGUUGGAUAAAACUUUUCAUUGACUAGAGACUAGGGUUAAUAGAGGCAUUGAUUGACGGAUUAAUUGAAUAAAUUAUUGACUGAUCAUCUUUCAAUAUACAUGACUCGAGAAAGAGUCAACUGUCGACUAUUUAUUUUUUGGGAGACUUUGGAAAAGGCCAAAAGAGAGAGAAAUUUUUUAAAAGAAGCCAAAAUGGACAAAAUUGCCCUUUUUUAUUUUUGAAUUUCCUAAGGAAUCCUUUGUAUUUGCAUGUCUUUGGUUUGAAAGUUGAGAGAUUUUUGUCUUUUUUGAAAAAGUUUUGAUUUUUUUCAGAAGUAAAAGUUUUUUUGUGGCUAAAACCUAAAUUUACUUUGUUUUUCCUUUCAUUUUUAAUGCAAUUUUGGACAACAAUAUUUUUCUCUACUCCAUCUACCAUGUAUUUAAAUGGUAUCUAAAUGAAAUUUCUCUUUAUUUAUUUAUUUAUUCUUAAACAAGUUUCUGAGCCGGCUUAGUUGAUCCACGAUUUAUCUUUCAUAUCAAGUGGAAGCAAUGGGUAGCACCAAGAUUUUUUCUAUAACCAAUUUUAUUCAAACAAAAAAUAUAACUAUAAUUCAGUCGACCGUUGAGGGUGGAGGUGGGCCAAGCCUUGCUUAUCUAAGGGCACACUCCCUUCGUUUGUAACCUAGUUUGUCAUGCACUCUCAAUUUACUUUCUCAAAGGCUCUCAAGCAUGCGUACAAAGUGACAAUCGUCUAUUAUAGUGAAAAUAACCACACAACAAUUAUAGUGAAAACAAUCAUACAACUCAACGUAGACGUAUCCAUUUGGGUGCACCACGAUAUAUUUAUAGGAUUUAUUUGUGUAUUUCGUGACCUUAUCUCGUUCACCUAAUUUUUGACGUCAACAAUAUUAAUAAUUUUAUUUAAACGGAAUUUGUACAAAGCAUAUGAAAGAGAGUGGGCAAUGGGACCAGAUAUACCUCAUGCUCAAAGCAUGAGUUUCAAAAAUAUAAAUGACAAGUUUGUCAAACACUCUGGUUUGAUUGCUUUAUGUUUACUCGUAUGAUCUUCAUAUCCAAUUGAUCACCAACAACUCUCACCUAAUGUUUGAACAUUGACAAAAGGCUUUAAACUAAAACAGAAAAAGAGCACGAUUCUGUAUUAUUAAGGGAUUAAAUCUGACCAUAUACAAAGAAACUAAUCCACCACCACUACAAAGAAGAAGAACCAAAAAAAAACAGAAAAAAAAAAAGUAGCAGCCAGAUAUCUGAAAUGAAUAACAAUUAUUAUACAAAGAUGAUGAGAGUUGGACAAUCCGGAACUGUAUCCAAUCUACAUGGUCUCUUCUUCAGUAUCACACAAAAAACUAAAAAUCAACUAUGAAUUCUAUAAAUAUAAAAGACGAUGAUCAGAGAUACUGAGAUUAUUGGGUGGACUUGUUUCAAUCAAAAGCAAGCAUCCAAC
rnacentral:lncRNA from 1 species